UGUGUGUCGGGGGGGCAUAUUAAUAAUGAUACUUCUUAACUAUUUUAGAUGUUUGUGCAUUAAUUUGACUUAGCAAAUUUUGAAAACCAUAUUCAUAGUUUUUAUUUAAAUCUAGACACUGAAAAUCUUCUUUAUUAAUUUGCUCAUGUCUCAAUUUUCCACGCUCAUUGAUUAUAUCCAAAACCAGCAGCUUCUAGACGUAAAUUGCUUUUUACGAAGUACUCGCUAAACAUCUAUGCUCUAUUUUAAGUACAUGUGUCUCUGAAAAAUGAAAUAAAAAUCAAUUUCUCUGAAAAUAUAAAAUUUGUAAUCACAGAUCACUCAUUCCUCUCUAAUUAAUCUUUUGCAUCACUAUUAUUAAUGAUGUUUUAGAAGGUUUACACACAUUUGUAACGUUAGUAUCUUUUGAUAUUAACAAAUGAAUGGAACAUUUUCCACAAUCAAGCGUUGGAUAUUUUUUACAUUCAUUAAAUAUAUGAUUGAAAUUUAUUUAAUAAGCAUUCCUGAAUAACUAAAAUAAUUUAAAUAUUACUACUUUUAGAAAGGUAGAAGGCGUGCUGCAGAGGGCACUGGGUCCUGAGUCUAGAGUAUUGGACACACAUAGAAGUUAUUCCACUAAUUGGUUAUGUUACCUUGCAAAAUUCCUGAUAGUGCUAAGCCAGAUAACGGUCAGUUUCCAUAUGCAUAGGCUUGGGUGUUUACAAGGUUCUACUUAAAAUUCAUUUCAAAAAUUGUAUUGCUGUAAUAAAUGACAGUUAUUAUUGCUAAUUCUUCUAUUAUUAUUAAUAUUGUCAGCACAUUAAUGUUAAAACAGUUGAGACGUAUACCUAGCAGGCAAAAUGUAAGUUUAACUAUGUUGGAUCAGAAAAGGAUACCUUCACGCAAACAUUUUUUUUAAACCUGGUAUGGUCUGGUGCUAAGUGUGAGACAAGAGAUUUCAAUAAAGAGUUUCUUUCACUCUUUUCUUGAGGAUUCUAUAAACAAGCUGCAGAGAGAUGUAUUUACCCUAGAUUCUAAAACGCACCUAAGCAAGGUUAGGCAAGAUAACUGAAGAGCAGUCAAAAUUUAUGCAUAUGCAAAGAAGAAAUGCAAAGUCAAGUGAUAGUUUUUUUUAUUAGAGUUUAAACAGAUCAUUUGGAAGAGAUUAAUGGUUCAUCAUCACUGUGUCUCAUUUGGCUCAUUUUCUGACCAAAUUUUUACCUUUAGAAAAUGAAAUGAUAUUUCCAAGUAAAUUUUAUCUGAAGAAUAUUAACAAAGGACACAGUCAGUAAUGAAGACAGACAAGGCAAUUCAUAAAGGCAGAUUCACCUCAUACCCUCUGUCUGAUGCUAGGUGCAGAAAAUGGCAUUCUUCAAUUUCUCAGAAUGAGAAAAUCAUCCUUUUAUUAAUUUGCAUCUCUGCUUUAAUAUUUUUUGUUUUGUUUUGUUUUUUAAUUCAGUAAACACAAAACUUGAAAUUCUUGUUAACAGUAGUGGCUUAGGAUGGAAAUUCUUCACACUGUUCACAUUUUAGUAAAAUGUAUACAGACAUCCCCCCAAAUGCCUUUGCUGGGAUAUGUUUAGGUAGUUUCUAGUCUCCCUACUCACCUUAAAAAUGAAUAUUUGUAGUAGCACCUCAAAUAAAUUUGUUUCCACUCCAGAGCUAUGGCCUUGGAUUUUUCUCCUUUGUGUGUUCCUUGCCCCUCCGUUAGCCGUCCUUGAGAGUGUGACCUUCUAUGCUUUUCACCCCAGGUCUGUGCCUGUGACCUUGAUCCAGAUCACCAGGUACAGUAGAGAAACGAGCCGCUAAUCAUUCUAACUUCAACCCUUACCCACCCGUGCUCUUUCUUCAGAGUCUCCAAUCUCUGCCUCAAAGUGAUGCCCUAUUUCAAAGUAAAGUUGUUUCCAGGAAAAUGGCUUAUUCUCCAUCUGAUUCCACCAUGGUUAUCACGAGAAACAUGGCAGCACCCUUGUUCCAGAGACAGGAGGACUCCUGUAAGGAAGAGGCAGAAGGGAAGGCUGGAGGUGCUGGUCAGAAGCCACAGGAGGUGGUGACAGGAAAAGAGUCCGUGACAAGUGGAGCCACAUGGGAUAAGUGACAGUGGUGAUUGGGACACCAGCUAAAUCUGGUUAGGAGGUUCUGAUGAGAGUCUGUUACCCUUCAGCGACCUUCUAGGAAGACCAUUUCUGAUCUUCAACCUGAGCAUAGCCCUGAAAUCGUGAGUCACUGACUCAAUCCAUAAGAGCUGUAGGGCCACUCUCUGCUAAAGGUGUUCCUCCCCUCUCAGAAUCAGGAAGCACAGGAGAGAAGGCAGGGAGCUACCUCUGUUUCUCUUGCUAGAAUGGGACAUGCUUUGGCCUCCUCAUAUGGAGAGAGAGAGCAUCCCACUUGGAAUGUACAGGGAUUUUUCCAUGGAAACAAUAUUGACACAGGGAAAGGGGGUCCAUACUCCAAGAGUUUGGAAAGCUACUCUAUGUUCAAUAUGCAGGUCGGCUUUUAUGAAUUUGCCUCAGAAGCUAACCACAUUUCCAACACUCUUUCUCUAGUAAAGGUCAAGUUUAGGGUAAUGAGUUAAUAAGCCAGCUACUGGAACAUAGUGUAUUUUUAUGGAGCUGGAGUGAAUCUCUCCAUUGUGGGUGUGUACAGGGAAGUCAUGAGCCCCACCAACAGCAUUCCUCAGCCAAACCUCAGAAGCCAGAAUUCCAGCAGCGCUUCAGGAUUAUGAUGUUGACCUUCAG